GUGCUCACUUUGGCAGCACGUAUAUUAAAAUUGGAACAAUACGGAGAAGAUUAGCAUGGCCCCUGUACAAGGAGGACACACAGAUUCUCGGUGUUAGCUUGAUAGCU
ensembl:snRNA U6 U6 spliceosomal RNA